GUAUCGUGUCCUGAACGUGUCCUGAACGUGUUUCGAAAGAAGUCUAAUCUAGUGAUGUAGUGCUGAAACAUGGAAGAAGUGAAAAAGUGGCUGCUUGAACAUAAUUUAUCGGAAUUAGUCUGCCGUUUUGAAACGAAACAACGUUGAAACGAUGUCGAUGUUGUUUCGACACGAUGACGUUUCUGACUGAGAAGUACUGAUGCACACUCAAACCUCGUCGACAGUCUAUCCAACAGCCGAGCAUGUGUCGCCACGUGAAUACAACGUGCAUUCCACGUGGAUUCGACUUUCAGAGUAGUGAAAGGCCCGGAAUUAUUUCGACAGUCAACAUAGAGCUCGCAAACGGACGACUACAUUUUUAUCUAUAAUUACAAAUU